rnacentral:rRNA from 1 species
GAGACAGUUCGGUCCCUAUCCGUCGCAGGCGUAGGAAAUUUGAGAAGACCUGUCCUUAGUACGAGAGGACCGGGAUGGACGUACCUCUGGUGUACCAGUUGUCCUGCCAAGGGCAUGGCUGGGUAGCUAUGUACGGAAUGGAUAAGCGCUGAAAGCAUCUAAGCGCGAAGCCAACUUCAAGAUAAGAUUUCCCACCGCAAGGGUAAGACCCCAGAAAGACUAUCUGGUUGAUAGGUCGAAGGUGUAAGUUCAGCAAUGUAUUUAGCUUAUCGAUACUAAUAGGUCGAGGACUUGACCAAU